rnacentral:rRNA from 1 species
GUGCCAGCCGCCGCGGUAAUACGGAGGGUGCAAGCGUUAAUCGGAAUUACUGGGCGUAAAGCGUGCGUAGGUGGUUGUUUAAGUCAGAUGUGAAAGCCCCGGGCUCAACCUGGGAAUGGCAUUUGAUACUGGAUAACUGGAGUUUGGGAGAGGCAAGUGGAAUUUCAGGUGUAGCGGUGAAAUGCGUAGAGAUCUGAAGGAACACCAGUGGCGAAGGCGACUUGCUGGCCUAAAACUGACGCUGAGGCACGAAAGCAUGGGUAGCAAACAGGAUUAGAAACCCCCGUAGUCC